rnacentral:rRNA from 1 species
UACGGGGGGAGCAAGCGUUGUUCGGAUUUACUGGGCGUAAAGGGCGCGUAGGCGGCCACCGCAAGUCGGUUGUGAAAUCUCUGGGCUUAACCCAGAAAGGUCAACCGAUACUGCGGGGCUAGAGUGCAGAAGGGGCAACUGGAAUUCUCGGUGUAGCGGUGAAAUGCGUAGAUAUCGAGAGGAACACCUGCGGCGAAGGCGGGUUGCUGGGCUGACACUGACGCUGAAGCGCGAAAGCUAGGGGA